rfam:Camelus ferus unplaced genomic scaffold scaffold689, whole genome shotgun sequence.
GGGAGUAUAACUCGGUGGUAGAGUGUGUGCUUAGCAUGCAUGAGGUCCUGGGUUCAAUCCCCAGUACCUCCA